CGGUUCCUCAAAACCACCUGCGUAACUAACUUUAAAAACUCCAUGUAACCUUUUCAGUUCAGAUGAAGAACUCCAAAAAAGCAGAGGCUGUCUGAUUUUUCUCUGCUUAAAACAGCUAAGCAAAUUCCACGCACGCAAACAUAGAGGCUUCAUGUCUGAUACAGAGCUUGUUCUCUUUCUUCUUCCAUCAAUUUUAUCUCUUCUUCUAAUCUUCAUUCUCUUUCAAAGAAAGCAUGCCAGGUUCAAUCUCCCACCAGGCAACAUGGGCUGGCCAUUUAUUGGUGAAACCCUUGCCUACUUGAAGCCUUACUCUGCUACUUCAAUUGGAGAUUUCAUGGAAAAGCAUAUCUUAAGGUAUGGGAAGAUAUACAAGUCCUAUUUAUUUGGGGAGCCAACAGUAGUCUCUGCAGAUGCUGGACUCAAUAGAUUUAUACUACAGAAUGAAGGGAGGUUAUUUGAAUGCAGCUAUCCAAGAAGUAUUGGUGGAAUUCUUGGAAAGUGGUCUAUGCUGGUUCUAGUUGGAGACUUGCAUAAAGAUAUGAGGACUAUAUCUCUCAACUUUCUGAGCCAUGCCAGGCUCAGGACUCAAUUAUUGAGAGAGAUGGAGAGGCAUACCUUGCUUGUUCUUAACUCCUGGAGGGAGAAUUCUAUAUUUUCAGCUCAGGAUGAAGCAAAGAAGUUCACCUUCAAUUUGAUGGCGAAACACAUCAUGAGCAUGGAUCCUGGAAAGCCAGAGACUGAGCAGCUGAAGAAAGAGUAUGUUACUUUCAUGAAAGGAGUGGUAUCUGCUCCAUUAAAUUUGCCCGGCACUGCGUACAGGAAAGCCUUGCAG
rnacentral:misc_RNA from 1 species